rnacentral:lncRNA from 1 species
CUGAUGAGAAAGAGAUUGUUAGAAGUGAAACAAUUAAAAAUUGUAUAAAGGAAAUUAUUGAGACUGAAAAGGGAAAUGAAAUUAAGAAAAAUGCUUUGAAAUGGAAGAAUUUGGCUAAGAGUUCUGUUGAUGAGGGUGGAAGAUCUGAUAAAAAUAUUGAAGAAUUUGUGGCUGCUUUGGCUCAAUGUUGAGAUGCAUUAAAAUUGACAAAAUUGGUGUGUGAUGAUUCCUAGUUUAUGCCUUCUGAAUUAUUGGUGUAUCCUUUCAUUUCACUUUUUUCUUUCCUUUAUGCAUAUGUGAUGUGAAUAUAAUAAGUUUAAGAUUGUCAUUUGGUAGGGUUGAAUCAUCUGUCUUACAAUCCAUGUGUUUUUCUGUAGUAGCAACAUUAAUUCCUUGUCAAACAAGUUGAAUAAUCUUAUUAGUUAAAUAUAGUAAUUGUUAUGCAGCCAAACUACAUAUUAAUGUAGUCAAUUGAGCUUAUUAUAUUAUGAUUCUUUUAUAAACAAAUAACUUAAUUGAAAAAUAAAUUGGAAGCUUAUCAUCGUAUUAUAAUAAACAUACUUAGGCUACAUUUUGAUUCUAGAUCCGAUAGUAUCACUCUUUUUUACGUACCUCCUUAUAAACUUUUCUAGUAAACUUUGUUGGUAUACAUACACUCCUCCGAUUAGGGGUGUGUCCCGAUGUGGGACACACGUCAGUGUCCGACACGAUACCUAUGAUUACAUUGAAAUUUGUUAUUUUCUCAAAUUAUUAUCUGUGUCGGUGUCUAUGUCGUGUCUGAUAUUGUGUCUGUGUCCGUACUUCUUGGGACCCAUUGUUCCGUACAAUAGUUAAUUUGCUGUGGAGUUAUCAUAGAAUGUUGAACAUGUAAAAGGACUUUCUCAUUUUGGUUCUUGAACUAGACAAUUUUACACAACUGAUAUACAAGAUGUUAUAAAAGAGCAGCAACUACUUAAAACAUACUGUUUUAAAAACAAUUUUAGAUAUUUGCCGUGGUGUUCCACACCAACACGUAUAAUUACACGAAAUUGUAUGAUUUUAUCAAAUUAUUAGCGGUGUUGAUGUAUCAGUGUCCAUGUCAAGUCUAGUGUCCGUAUUCGUACUUCAUAAUUAUCACGGUCACUGUGAUCUUAUGGUGCUGAGAUAGAUGCGGCCUCAAAUCGUGUAGUUGUCAGAAGACAUAAUUUUUUUAUAUAGCGGUCUAGAUCGCAGUCAUAGACGUAUUUUUAACAUUGUUUACUUUGUCCACAACAUAUGAUGAUAUAGAAAAUGACACAAAUUUGAGAAUUAAUUUUUUUUUUUGAAUCGGCUAAGUUUAUUCUCUACAGGUUUGUAUAAGGCACAAAAUAUCCACGGAUGGAAAAAACGGAAUACAACCGUAUAUAAGCAGGAGUUGUGUUAUUUGAACAUCCAUAUAUGUGACAAUUUUUACGACAACUAAAAUUUUAUAAAGGAAAUGAGGUAUUGACACAAAAAUCAAAGCAAUAGAGAAAAAAAGUAAAAAAAUAAUCUAAGUAUGAGAAAGAAAGUUAUCAUAAAAAUUGUCAAAAAUUAUCAAAAAUGGUAUCAAAAGAUCGCCUCAAAGACACAAACAACACCAAAAAAAACCUACUAAAAACGACAAAGAGCCGGCCAACAAAACAAAACAACAGCCGCCCCACACAAAAGAUGAGGCUGAGGUAUACAUACAAUAAGAAAGGGCCUACCUAUAACAUCGUGUUCUUUUUUUUCUUUUCUUUAACAUCAUUGAAUUCUCACCUUAACUACAACCUUGAUUUCAUGUUACCUCUUAAAAGCCAACAACAUUUACUCUUAAUAGCUAAACAUAGGAUGAAGCACAAAUAUAAACAUAGACAACUGCAUGUAUCGGUUCCGUGUCAGAAAUUUGAAUUUAAGUAGAGGGAUGACAGGUGUAAUUUUGCCAUUAGUGUUCCAUAAUGUUUGGAUAAUAUAUAAAUUUAAUCUCUGAUAGUAACUUAUACUACCUUCGUCCCUAAUUAUAAGGUUCUUUUAAAAAAAUAAGAGGAAUUAAGAUAAUGAAUAUUUAUAUUAAAUGUGUUUGUAAUUACUAUUGUUUUUACAAUUUUAUCUUUUAAGAAAGAGGGUUGGCUUAUGUUUUCAUCAUUAUAUUUAUUGCUGAUUCAAGAAAAAGAUGUAUAAUAAAUAGGGGCAUGUAUGUAAAGAAAUAAUUAAUGUAGUUGGAAAUAGAAAAUAAGUCUUAUAAAAAGGGACAAAUUUUUUUUCAAAAGGAUCUUAUAAUUAGGAACGGAGGUAGUAAUUGUUUCGUCACAACCACAAAUAAUAAUCAUUUUAGCACACAUAUAAGAUAAAACUAUGUAUCAUUUAAUUAUUGUUAUAAAAGUAUAUAUUAUUUAAAUUGUUUCUUUUUAUACUUUUCCCAUUUUACAAGUGUGUGCCUAAAGGUUGUGACCAAAUCCAAUCACUUGCAGUAGCCGCUUCAUACAGUGUUAGACAGUAGUUGAUCUCGGUCUUACAAAAGUGAUAUUAUAGUCUAGCUUUGUUUGACUAGUUUUCAUACACUUUCAUCUCAGCCACUUCUUUUUGAUCGAUCGGUGGAUAGGAGUUACUCGUGAUACAAUAACUACGAGGGAUCUAUUUCCAUCUUUGGUCUAAUGAAUUGUGACCAUGGAAGAUUUACUCUGAUGUUUGGGUGACAUAGAAUUUAUGACAUUAGUCAAUCACAAUGUGACAAGUGGUUUUGUUUUUUCUUUAUCUCUCUUAUAAGGAUUGUGACAUUGUGAUUAGUCAAUGUCGCUAAUAUCACCAAUUCUAUGUAACCCAAUUGCUACCUCAGUCCUUAGUAAGUUUUACUUAGGUAUGUAUUAGGAAAAAAAAGGGUUAAAUAUAUUUUUGAUCCUUAUAAAUAUAUCAACUUUUCGUUUUAGUCCCUCUGAAAUUUUCCUUCAACUUCUAGUCACUACAAAAUUUCAGUCACUACUUUUAGUCUUUAUUUUUAAGUUAUUUUUUGUAUUUUUUAAUGAAAUUGUGCAGAAAUGUAUAGAAUAUUGUAAAAAAAAUUCACAAAAAAAGUAGGAAUUUUUUAAAAAAACACAAAUUUAAUAUGAAUUUUUAACCGUAACAAAUGUAAAAAUUCAUAUUAAAUUUAUGUUAUGUUAAAAAAUUCUAGUUUUUUUAGGGAGAGAUUCUUAUAAUAUUAUAAAUUUUUCUGCAAAAUUUUAUUUAAAAGUAUGAAUUCUACAUAAGUUUAUUUUAAAAGAGGCACCAAAAGUAGUGAUUGAAAAUUUUAUAGGACUAAAGGUUGAAGGAAAAGUUUAGAGGAAUUAAAAUAAAAAGUUGGUAUAUUUAUAGGGAUCAAAAAAUAUAUUUAAUCCAAAAAAUAAUAAAUUAAAUAUUUGUAUAAAGUGACUUACCUAUGGCUCGGAUUCAUAGAAUGUACCGGCAAAAACCCAAUCUGCUAUAUCAGUGGUUAAAAAUUGAUUUCAAAGAAUGUCAAAGUAUUUUAGAUUAGUUUCAAAUUUAUACAAACAAAAUGACAAAUCCGCAGCUUCAAGCUUAGGAAAUCAAUUUAUGAUUAUGCAGUGAACAUAACAGAAACUCAGCAAAACCAAGGUAAUGAAUCUCAUUCAGAAAUUUUGUAAUCCACAUUAUACAUUGAAUAAUGCAUUGUGUCACUAUUGUUAGUCAUAGCUUUGCUCUAGAAAAUUGUAAUAUUAUGAGCUUACAGUGAUUUUUGAUAAAACUAAUUCAAGUAACUUAUAAUUUAUCAUCUUUUAUCUAUCCGAUGUGAGACUUGAGUUUUUCCCAAUACACCCCGUCACUCCAACACUCAUUUUGGGCUUAGUGCGUGGAUAGAUAAGUGACCCUUGAAUUCGACAAGCUCUAAUACCAUCUUGUAAUGGAAAUCAUCGUUGGUUCUAAUACAACCACACAAAACUGACUUAUGAGGUGAUGAUUGCCCCACUGAUAAACAAAUGUUUAGACCAUAUUGGUUAUAAUACCAAUGUAAUAUUACUUGAAAAACUAACUAUUAAUUAAAUAUACAUUUCUUUAUGUCAUUUCAUAUUUAUUAACUACUUCAACCACUAAUUUUAUCAAAUACUACAAUUCUAUCAGCUAACUUAUCUACUAUCAACUAUAAAUUAACUUAUAAGUCAUCCGCUAUAAACUAACUUAUCAAUUAUCCGCUAUUUUUUACUAACCAGAGCCACUGUGUCCAAGCGCAAUUGUUUGUUUUGUGGAUGUAUAUGUAUAUGUAACUAAAGUACAUAGAUGUAUUUUAUUAGGAAUAAGAAGAAAAUAAGAGAGAUGGAAAAGGAGAGGAAAAACCAUGUAGCUCACUGUCUGAUCUUACCUUAUCCAGCACAAGGACAUAUGAAUCCUAUGAUUCAAUUCUCAAAGCGUUUGAUAGAGAAAGGAGUAAAGGUUACAUUGAUAACUGUUUAUUCAUAUUGGAAGACUAUCAAAAACAAAAAUCUUUCUUCAAAUAUUGAAGUUGAGAGCAUCUCAGAUGGCUACGAUGACGGAGGGUAUGAAUCGGCAAAGAGCUUUGACGUUUACAUACAGACCUUCUGGAGAGUUGGAUCACAAACUCUAUGUGAGCUUCUUCAUAAGCUUUCUAGCUCAAAAACCCCACCAAAUUGCGUUAUCUUUGAUGCAUUUAUGCCUUGGGCUCUUGAUGUUGCCAAGAAUUUUGGGCUACUUGGUGUUCCAUUUUUCACUCAAUCUUGUUCUGUUAAUAGCAUAUACUUUCAUACUCAUCAGAAGUUGAUUGAAUUGCCAAUUUCACAAUCUGAGUAUUUGUUACCUGGAUUGCCAAAACUUGCUCAAGGGGAUUUGCCUUCUUUCUUGUAUAAAUAUGGAUCCUAUCCAAUUAUAUUUGACGUAGUUGUGAAUCAAUUUUCCAACAUUGGUAAAGCAGAUUGGAUUCUUGCAAACACAUUCUAUGAACUCGAACCAGAGGUAUGUCGCUUAAAUAAAAUAACUGAAAUGUCAUUCUAUACUUUAAUAUGUUCAGUUUUGCUUAUCUAUUGGAAUGUAAUUUUGGCAAGGUUUUAUUCUGCGAUAAGAUCUUUAAUAUUGCGAAGAGUUGCUACUAACAUGGCUUCAAAUGUAAUUGUACAGCAGCAACCAACAGAAAUAUAGUAUUAGAUGAUUGAUUAGUGAGUUAAUUACAACUCCCUUUGUUAGUGGUUGUUAAUAAAUAGUUAUAAGUUAAUCCUCCAUAAGUUCAACUUCCUUAGGUAUAUAUUUUUUUAUGGUUGAGAAAAGUUAUCCACUUACUAUGAAGCAUGGACACGAUACGACGUGUCGAUAUGUAUCGAGGACCAUACGGUUUGAAAUUUCAAGUAUCCGUGCUUCACAGAUUACAGGCUUCACAAGUUCUUUAUAUAGAGUAUCAUAUAUUUCUUUUCAUAAACUUUCUCAAUCAAUUGAAUAUGUUUCUUUUAUACGAAGCGUCAUAAGUAUCAGCACACUAUCUUUCUGGGGAAUUUGGUUUGGAACAAUGACACUCUUUGAUUUCUAACCACCGCGGACGGUUUUUAAUUUCUUGGUAGUCUUCUAUUUUUAUUGAUUAUGAAUAUAAUCUUAAAUGAAUUUGAUUUAGGUGGUGGAUUGGUUGAGUAAGAUUUGGCCAUUAAAGACAAUCGGACCAUCAGUGCCAUCUUCGCAUUUGGAUAAAAGAAUCAAAGAUGACAAAGAAUAUGGUGUUAGCGUUUCAGAUCCAAAUACAGAAUCUAGCAUCAAAUGGCUGAACGAGAAACCAAAACGGUCUGUUGUGUACGUCUCAUUUGGGAGCAAUGCUCGUCUUAGUGAAGAGCAAAUAGAAGAACUAGCUUUGGGAUUAAACGAUAGUGAAAAAUAUUUCUUAUGGGUUGUUAGAGAAUCUGAACAAGUUAAGCUUCCAAAAGGGUUUGAAGAAACAUCGAAGAAUGGUUUAAUAGUGACAUGGUGUCCACAAUUAGAAGUGUUAACACAUGAAGCUGUGGCAUGUUUUGUGACACACUGUGGUUGGAACUCGACGUUGGAAGCUUUGAGCAUUGGUGUACCAUUGAUUGCAAUGCCGCUUUGGACCGAUCAAGCUACGAAUGCAAAGUUUAUUGCUGAUGUGUGGAAAAUGGGAGUUAGAGCUGUUGCUGAUGAGAAAGAGAUUGUUAGAAGUGAAACAAUUAAGAAUUGUAUAAAGGAAAUAAUUGAGACUGAAAAAGGAAAUGAAAUUAAGAAAAAUGCUUUGAAAUGGAAGAAUUUGGCUAAGAGUUCUGUUGAUGAGGG